rnacentral:rRNA from 1 species
AUUGAACGCUGGCGGCAGGCCUAACACAUGCGAAGUCGAACGGUAACAUAAAGAAGCUUGCUCUUUUGAUGACGAGUGGCGGACGGGUGAGUAAUAUUUGGGGAAACUACCUGAUAGAGGGGGGACAACAGUUGGAAACGACUGCUAAUACCGCAUAAAGCCUAAGGGUGAAAGCAGCAAUGCGCUAUCAGAUGUGCCCAAACGGGAUUAGCUAGUAGGUGAGGUAAAGGCUCACCUAGGCGACGAUCUCUAGCUGGUCUGAGAGGAUGAUCAGCCACAUUGGGACUGAGACACGGCCCAGACUCCUACGGGAGGCAGCAGUAGGGGAAUAUUGGCACAAUGGAGGAAACUCUGAUGCAGCCAUGCCGCGUGUGUGAAGAAGGCCUUCGGGUUGUAAAGCACUUUCGGAGGGGAGGAAAAGAUGACGUUACCCUCAGAAGAAGCACCGGCUAACUCCGUG